GUGGUCUGGGGUCCAGCUCCUGGUUAAUGCUUCUUUGCAUUCUCGUACCAGACAGCCCCACCCUGACCGAAAGCAAACCACCAGAAUCCCUGGGCAGUUACAGGUGUGAGCAUUAUACAGUGGUUCAUGCUCAUGUAUAAUACUGCAAACAAUC